rnacentral:rRNA from 1 species
CAGCAGCCGCGGGAAUACGUAGGGUCCGAGCGUUGUCCGGAAUUACUGGGCGUAAAGAGCUCGUAGGUGGUUUGUCGCGUUGUUCGUGAAAACUCACAACUCAAUUGUAGGCGUGCGGGCGAUACGGGCAGACUGGAGUACUGCAGGGGAGACUGGAAUUCCUGGUGUAGCGGUGGAAUGCGCAGAUAUCAGGAGGAACACCGGUGGCGAAGGCGGGUCUCUGGGCAGUAACUGACGCUGAGGAGCGAAAGCGUGGGGAGCGAACAGGAUUAGAUACCCCAGUAGUCCCUGUCUCUUAUAC